rnacentral:rRNA from 1 species
ACACAUGCAAGUCGAACGAAAUCUUCGGAUUUAGUGGCGGACGGGUGAGUAACGCGUGAGAAUCUGGCUCUAGGUCUGGGACAACCACUGGAAACGGUGGCUAAUACCGGAUGUGCCCUUGGGUGAAAGGUUAACUGCCUAGAGAUGAGCUCGCGUCUGAUUAGCUAGUAGGUAGUGUAAUGGACUACCUAGGCGACGAUCAGUAGCUGGUCUGAGAGGACGAUCAGCCACACUGGGACUGAGACACGGCCCAGACUCCUACGGGAGGCAGCAGUGGGGAAUUUUCCGCAAUGGGCGAAAGCCUGACGGAGCAAUACCGCGUGAGGGAGGAAGGCUCUUGGGUCGUAAACCUCUUUUCUCAGGGAAGAACACAAUGACGGUACCUGAGGAAUAAGCAUCGGCUAACUCCGUGCCAGCAGCCGCGGUAAUACGGAGGAUGCAAGCGUUAUCCGGAAUGAUUGGGCGUAAAGCGUCCGCAGGUGGCAAUGUAAGUCUGCUGUUAAAGAGUCUAGCUCAACUAGAUAAAAGCAGUGGAAACUACAUAGCUAGAGUACGUUCGGGGCAGAGGGAAUUCCUGGUGUAGCGGUGAAAUGCGUAGAGAUCAGGAAGAACACCGGUGGCGAAGGCGCUCUGCUAGGCCGUAACUGACACUGAGGGACGAAAGCUAGGGGAGCGAAUGGGAUUAGAUACCCCAGUAGUCCUAGCCGUAAACGAUGGAUACUAGGCGUGGCUUGUAUCGACCCGAGCCGUGCCGUAGCUAACGCGUUAAGUAUCCCGCCUGGGGAGUACGCCGGCAACGGUGAAACUCAAAGGAAUUGACGGGGGCCCGCACAAGCGGUGGAGUAUGUGGUUUAAUUCGAUGCAACGCGAAGAACCUUACCAAGGCUUGACAUGUCGCGAAUCCUGGUGAAAGCUGGGAGUGCCUUCGGGAGCGCGAACACAGGUGGUGCAUGGCUGUCGUCAGCUCGUGUCGUGAGAUGUUGGGUUAAGUCCCGCAACGAGCGCAACCCUCGUUUUUAGUUGCCAGCAUUAAGUUGGGCACUCUAGAGAGACUGCCGGUGACAAACCGGAGGAAGGUGGGGAUGACGUCAAGUCAGCAUGCCCCUUACGCCUUGGGCUACACACGUACUACAAUGCUCCGGACAGAGGGCAGCAAGCAUGCGAAUGCAAGCAAAUCCCGUAAACCGGAGCUCAGUUCAGAUCGCAGGCUGCAACUCGCCUGCGUGAAGGAGGAAUCGCUAGUAAUUGCAGGUCAGCAUACUGCAGUGAAUUCGUUCCCGGGCCUUGUACACACCGCCCGUCACACCAUGGAAGCUGGUAGUGCCCGAAGUCAUUACUCCAACCCUUCGGGGAGGAGGAUGCCUAAGGCAGGACUGGUGACUGGGGUGAAGUCGUAACAAGGUAGCCGUACCGGAAGGUGUGGCUGGAU